UACGUAGGGUGCAAGCGUUAAUCGGAAUUACUGGGCGUAAAGCGUGCGCAGGCGGUGAUGUAAGACAGAUGUGAAAUCCCCGGGCUCAACCUGGGAACUGCAUUUGUGACUGCAUCGCUGGAGUACGGCAGAGGGGGAUGGAAUUCCGCGUGUAGCAGUGAAAUGCGUAGAUAUGUGGAGGAACACCGAUGGCGAAGGCAAUCCCCUGGGCCUGUACCGACGCUCAUGCACGAAAGCGUGGGGAGCAAACAGG
rnacentral:rRNA from 1 species